UCUGUGUGAUUGAUAUCUUUGUGCUAGAAUGAUACUGUCAAAAAUGAAAACUGUUUGUAAAGAGAUAUAUUUGAACUAUAUGAUGGUGUUUACUCUGAUGAUAAAGGUCAUUUGAGCAUGGAUAAGAAAUAGCCAGAGCAAUCCUUUCCUGAUGUAAGAAAGAGUCAAAUUGGCUUAUACCAAGAAGCUGAGAGGGAAGGGCGAAGCCUGGCGGUUUCAAGCUCGUUACGCGCCGAAUCCAACAAUGAUGAUUAUAAUAAAAAAUAAACCACGAAGGCGAUAUUUUAACUUCCGUG